GCCGGAGCUCACCUGGAACCCAAGCGCUGGGCCGCGAGCGCCGCGCGCAGCGCCGGCUCCAGCCAGUGCCUUUCUCUUCACACCUCCCCGCCAGCAGAGGGAGCAGGCUCCGGCCUCCGCCAGCCCCAGAGAGAGGCCCUCAUAGCGCAGCGGCGGGCUGAAGAGCUCCUUGAGCGCGGCCAGAGCGGACGCCGAGGCCGAGGACGCGCCCAGAGCCAGCAAGGGAUGCUACCACGCUGUCACCUCUCACCGUGAGCCACAACUGCUGGUCCUGCGUUCACGGCUUUCCUUUGUCUUUCAGGUGGAGACGCGCUGACCUGCCCCAAUACCUAUUGUUGUUUGUUAAAUUACUCCAAGAUACUUAUAGUUAACGGCAAACACCCAUUUAUAACCACAAAUCAUGUCAGAUGUUCAGGACCAGCACAAUCAAUCAAGUAAACAGCACCCUCCUUGAGUAUGUGGCAGGUGUGUGAGGAUUUCAUGAACCUGUCCUGCAUUUCCAAAUCCAUCCUGAGGCCUCUCCCUGGACACAGGUCUGUGGAUCAGCCUGUACUCGGGCAGUUUUACCUUCUAUGUCUGUUUGUCACGGUCCUCUUGUCCUAGUGCUCAUCACUGCACGUUCCCAGCUCCAGCAAGUGGCCACUCUUUUCCCUCCACAACCAAAGGCCCGACGGCCCAGCCCCCCGGUGGCAGGUGGCCCUUCCAUGGCUGAGGUCACACACCCAGCAUCGCAUCCUGCCCUUCUCGGGGCCUCGGGCCCCUUCGACUCGUCUCCAGGGAUUGCACUUGCUCCUGCUGCCCACGGAGGUUUCCUUCCUGUGAUUCCACUCGGAGGGGGCGCUUUUCUUUGCUGGCUUCAACCAUCACAGAGCUGCUUUGUGUUCGCCGGCAGCUGCCACGCUUCCCUGAAAAGGCGGCUUCUGUUCUGCUGGAGAUGAGCUGAUUUGCCUGGCAGCCAACUUAAACAAGGAGGCAAGAAAACAGCAUAGACUGGGCUCCCAAAUACAUCUACAUGGAUUUAAUGGACACGGAAUGUUGAUGUUAGAUGUAAAGCAGCACUGUGACUCAACCCCUUGUGCAACUCUGAACAUGGAGGGGAGUCCUGUGAAGAUGCACUGACCCUGAAGUGUUUCAGAAAGGCUGUCUAUAGCUGUACCUAAGCCUUGAUCAUGUGAGAGAAGUCCUAGCUCUGUCUGCAGUGGUGGGCAAGGGGGACAAGAAGUCACCUUCUCCAAGACCCUUUUCAAGCACCAGGGUUGCCUGACUGUUGAAUUAGGGCCAUAGACUUUCCACACUGAGCCCAGCACUGCACUUGUGCCUCUGCUGAAAGAUGCUUUCCAUAGCAGAAAGUUCUGGGACUCAAGUCCUGCUGUCUGUAUUUUUUUGUCCCUUGAUGUGGUGUACUCCCCCUUCCCCUAGGAGUAGGAAUCCCUGAAGAACAGACUACUGUGAAUGCCACUGCUUCUCUGGGUCCAGCUUCCCCAUGGGGUGAAUGCAACACUCCAGGCUGGUGCUGGGGAAUGCUUGCAAGUGAUCCAGUGAUGUGACCUGUCCUCAAGUCUCCCAGCAGUGGGAACAAGCACCAGCUCUUAUGGGGUGACAGGGGAGUAACAUAGACUCUGUAAGAUUCCUUGGUUAUAAACAGCCUUAUUGUGUUGGCUUUCUCAAAUGCCAGGAAGUCUCAAAUGCCAGUAGUAAUGAACUGGUCACAUGGACAGACAUAGGACCUCCUGGUUAGCCAGGAUGAUGCAGGCAGUGGUGAUAGUUGAGGACACGCAUAAGUUUUCUUCUUCCUAGGCACUUUGUUAUCCAGGUCUCUCCCACAACACGUGGAAAUUCAAGAUGAGAUUUGGAUGAGGAUACAGCCAAACCAUAUCACUCACCUAGCUCCCAUACACUUGGCAAAGCAGGUCUCACAAUCUCAAUGUUUCUCUAGCAGCAGCUAGCUAUGUUCCAGGCAGUUUGCACUCAGAACUCAAAACUUCCCCAGGCCAUAUGCCUUCCCCUGGAAGACCGAAUCCUUGGCUUUUAGGCCAUGCCUUUUCUGCUCAGCCAGCCAAGCAGGGACAUUCAGCUCCAGUGCCCAUGUUUACAGCCCACUUGCCACUUCCCCUUUGGUUCUGGAUUAUAUCUAGAAUCUCAAUUGGGAGCUUCUUUUAACAUGUGACCACCACCUGAGUUACCUGACAGACUUCCAAAACAUCCCCUGUGAGGUUGGAUCAGGAAUGGCUUCCCUCCACA
rnacentral:lncRNA from 1 species